rnacentral:ncRNA from 1 species
UCUUAUUAAGAGAGAUGGAGGGAUUUGGCCCUAUGAAGUCUCAGCACCAGAAAUAUAGACCGGCGUAUUGUGUCUUUUGUGCUAAGUCCAACAGAUUGUAAUAGAUCUGGCAGAUAAGA